rnacentral:ncRNA from 1 species
UGCGCUGAGUUUAAGCAUAUAAUUAAGUGGAGGAAAAGAAACUUAAAAGGUUUCCCCUAGUAACAACGAGCGAACCGGGAAGAGCCCAACAUGAAAAUCGAGUGGCAGCGCUGCCUGAAUUGUAGUCUGUAUAAGCGUCCUUAGUAGUGGACCGGGACCAAGUCCCUUGGAAGGGGGUGCCUGAGAGAGUGACAGCCCCAUCGAGCCGGAACCUUGCCGCACCACGAGGCAUUGUCGACGAGUUGGGUUGUUUGGGAAUGCAUCCCUAAUCGGGUGGUAAAUUUCGUCCAAGGAUAAAUAUGGGCGAGAGACUGAUAGCGAACAAGUAUCAUGAGGGAAAUAUGAAAAGGAAUUUGAAAAUAGAGUUAGAGAGUGCUUGAAAUUUUCGGGAGGGAAGCGGACGGAGGCCGACGAUGCAUCUCGGUCAGAUGUAGAACGACUCAAGCUGGUCCGCCGCUCGACUCGAGGUGUGAACCAUCAAAGGCCAUUGCAUCGACACAGGCACGGGUGGAGUACUUCAUGUUGGUUUUUAGUUGUGGCGGUCGAGGAGAAGAGAAAUAAAGGGAUUCCACCAACACUCAUUUAAAUUUAUUUUUAAUUGCUUGUCAAUACUUCUUUUAGUUUGUUGAUAUUGAG